GGCAAGAUGGCCGAGCGGUCUAAGGCGAUGCACUCAAGAGAUCUUCUCUUAGCCCUACCUACAAUGGGCUCGUAUUGCAUUCUCGCAAGAGGCGUGGGUUCGAAUCCCACUCUUGUCA
rfam:Pseudomassariella vexata strain CBS 129021 BCR38scaffold_7, whole genome shotgun sequence.